UGAAUACGAGAUGCUACGGCGUCGAAGCAGUCUAUGUCAUACUUCCAAGAAAAGCUCGCACUGUCAUAAACAAAUAAUGCCUGUACCAUAACCGACACAGGUGGGUAGGUAGAGUAUACUAAGGGGCGCGAGAUAACUCUCUCUAAGGAACUCGGCAAAAUGACUCCGUAACUUCGGGAGAAGGAGUGCCUUAUUUAUAAGGUUGCAAUAACAAGAUCCAAGCAACUGUUUAUCAAAAACACAGGUCUCCGCUAAGUCGUAAGACGAUGUAUGGGGGCUGACGCCUGCCCAGUGCCAGAAGGUUAAAGAAGUUGGUUAGCAUUCGCGAAGCUGAUAACUGAAGCCCUGGUGAACGGCGGCCGUAACAAUAACGGUCCUAAGGUAGCGAAAUUCCUUGUCGGGUAAGUUCCGACCCGCACGAAAGGCGUAAUGAUUUGGAUACUGUCUCGGAGAGGGGCUCGGUGAAAUAGACUUGUCUGUGAAGAUGCGGACUACCUGCACCAGGACAGAAAGACCCUAUGAAGCUUUACUGUAACUUGAGAUUGAAAUUGGACUUUACUCGCAGUAUAGGUGGGAGGCGUUGAUAAUAUUCUUGCGGGAUUAUUUGAGCCAUCAGUGAGAUACCACUCUUGUAAUGUUAGAUUUCUAACUUUGUAUCAUUAUCUGGUCAAAGGACAGUUUCAGGCGGGCAGUUUGACUGGGGCGGUCGCCUCCUAAACGGUAACGGAGGCGCACAAAGGUUUCCUCUGAACGGGUAGAAAUCGUAUCUAGAGUGUAAAGGCAUAAGGAAGCUUGACUGUGAGACCUACAAGUCGAGCAGGGACGAAAGUCGGUCUUAGUGAUCUGACGGUGCUGAGUGGAAAGGCCGUCACUCAACGGAUAAAAGUUACUCUAAGGAUAACAGGCUGAUCUCCCCCAAGAGUUCACAUCGACGGGGAGGUUUGGCACCUCGAUGUCGGCUCAUCGCAUCCUGGGGCGGUAGUACGUCCCAAGGGUUGGGCUGUUCGCCCAUGAAAGCGGUACGCGAGCUGGGUUCAGAACGUCGUGAGACAGUUCGGUCCAUAUCCGGUGUAGGCGUUAGAAUAUUGAGAGGAGCCUUCUUUAGUACGAGAGGACCGAGAAGGACAUACCUCUGGUGUACCAGUUAUCGUGCCAACGGUAAACGCUGGGUAGCUAUGUAUGGAGUGGAUAACCGCUGAAAGCAUCUAAGUGGGAAGCCCACCUCAAGAUAAGUA
rnacentral:rRNA from 1 species